CCUACGGGCGGCAGCAGUGGGGAAUAUUGGACAAUGGGGGCAACCCUGAUCCAGCCAUGCCGCGUGUGUGAAGAAGGCCCUCGGGUUGUAAAGCACUUUCAGUGAGGAAGAACGCCUGGUGGUUAAUACCCAUCAGGAAAGACAUCACUCACAGAAGAAGCACCGGCUAACUCCGUGCCAGCAGCCGCGGUAAUACGGAGGGUGCGAGCGUUAAUCGGAAUUACUGGGCGUAAAGCGCGCGUAGGUGGCUUGAUAAGCCGGUUGUGAAAGCCCCGGGCUCAACCUGGGAACGGCAUCCGGGACUGUCAAGCUAGAGUGCAGGAGAGGAAGGUAGAAUUCCCGGUGUCGCGGUGAAAUGCGUAGGGAUCGGGAGGAAUACCAGUGGCGAAGGCGGCCUUCUGGACUGACACUGACACUGAGGUGCGAAAGCGUGGGUAGAAAACAGGAAUAGAUACCCGAGUAGUC
rnacentral:rRNA from 1 species